rnacentral:rRNA from 1 species
CUAGCCGUAAACGAUGGGUACUAGGUGUAGGGGUUUCGAUACCUCUGUGCCGCAGUUAACGCAAUAAGUACCCCGCCUGGGGAGUACGUGCGCAAGCAUGAAACUCAAAGGAAUUGACGGGGGCCCGCACAAGCGGUGGAGCAUGUGGUUUAAUUCGAAGCAACGCGAAGAACCUUACCAGGGCUUGACAUCCCCUGACAGUCAUGGAAACAUGGCAUCCCUUCGGGGCAGGGAGACAGGUGG